rnacentral:rRNA from 1 species
CAUGCAAGUCGAACGAGAAACUUCCCGCUUGCGGGAAGGAGUAGAGUGGCGCACGGGUGAGUAACGCGUGGGUAACCUGCCCCUGAAUUUGGGAUAACUUCGCGAAAGCGUUGCUAAUACCGAAUGCCGUUCCCGGAACUGUGGUUUUGGGAAUGAAAGGUGACCUAUCCAUGGAAGUUGCCGUUCGGGGAGGGGCUCGCGUACCAUUAGCUUGUUGGUGGGGUAAUGGCCUACCAAGGCUGCGAUGGUUAGCUGGUCUGAGAGGAUGAUCAGCCACACUGGAACUGAAUCACGGUCCAGACUCCUACGGGAGGCAGCAGUGAGGAAUUUUGCGCAAUGGGGGAAACCCUGACGCAGCAACGCCGUGUGAGUGAAGAAGGCUUUCGGGUCGUAAAGCUCUGUCAAGUGGGAAAAAAUGCCUCCGAUGAAUAGUCGGAGGAGUUGAUGGUACCACUAGAGGAAGCACCGGCUAACUCCGUGCCAGCAGCCGCGGUAAUACGGAGGGUGCAAGCGUUGUUCGGAAUUAUUGGGCGUAAAGCGCGUGCAGGCGGUUUGGUAAGUCAGAUGUGAAAGCCCUGGGCUCAACCCAGGAAGUGCAUUUGAAACUACCUUACUUGAGUAUGGGAGAGGAGAGUGGAAUUCCCAGUGUAGAGGUGAAAUUCGUAGAUAUUGGGAAGAACACCCGUGGCGAAGGCGACUCUCUGGACCAAUACUGACGCUGAGACGCGAAAGCGUGGGGGAGCAAACAGGAUUAGAUACCCUGGUAGUCCACGCCGUAAACGAUGAGAACUAGGUGUAGCGGGUAUUGACCCCUGCUGUGCCGGAGCUAACGCAUUAAGUUCUCCGCCUGGGGAGUACGGCCGCAAGGCUAAAACUCAAAGGAAUUGACGGGGGCCCGCACAAGCGGUGGAGCAUGUGGGUUUAAUUCGACGCAACGCGAAGACCUUACCUGGAUUUGACAUCCUUUGACAUCCUGGGAAACCAGGCCUUCCCUGCUUGCAGGAC